rnacentral:tRNA from 1 species
GGUUUGUGGCUCAGUGGUAGAGCGCUUGCCUAGCACGGGCAAGAACCUUGGUUCAAUCCUCAGCACCA